AUUGAACGCUGGCGGCAUGACUUACACAUGCAAGUCGAACGGUAACGGGCCUUCGGGUGCCGACGAGUGGCGAACGGGUGAGUAAUACAUCGGAACGUGCCCGAUCGUGGGGGAUAACGAGGCGAAAGCUUUGCUAAUACCGCAUACGAUCUACGGAUGAAAGCAGGGGACCGCAAGGCCUUGCGCGGACGGAGCGGCCGAUGGCAGAUUAGGUAGUUGGUGGGAUAAAAGCUUACCAAGCCGACGAUCUGUAGCUGGUCUGAGAGGAUGAUCAGCCACACUGGGACUGAGACACGGCCCAGACUCCUACGGGAGGCAGCAGUGGGGAAUUUUGGACAAUGGGCGCAAGCCUGAUCCAGCCAUGCCGCGUGCAGGAUGAAGGCCUUCGGGUUGUAAACUGCUUUUGUACGGAACGAAAAGCCUUCUUUUAAUACAGGAGGGUCAUGACGGUACCGGAAGAAUAAGCACCGGCUAACUACGUG
rnacentral:rRNA from 1 species